rnacentral:misc_RNA from 1 species
GCAAACUUGGUCAUUUAGAGGAAGUAAAAGUCGUAACAAGGUCUCCGUAGGUGAACCUGCGGAGGGAUCAUUAUCGAGCUCGCGCCCCGUCAGGGGCGGACCUCCCACCCAUUGUUAUCGCUACCGUCGUUGCUUUGGCGGGCCGCGGGCCCGACCCGCUGCCGGCUCAGGCCGGCGCGCGCCCGCCAGAGGCUCCGCAGACCCUCCCGUCGGUGUCGUCCGAGCACAGCGCAAUCGUCAAAACUUUCAACAACGGAUCUCUUGGUUCCGGCAUCGAUGAAGAACGCAGC